rnacentral:misc_RNA from 1 species
GAUGGAGAACGCAGCGAAAUGCGAUACUUGGUGUGAAUUGCAGAAUCCCGUGAACCAUCGAGUCUUUGAACGCAAGUUGCGCCCGAAGCCAUUAGGCCGAGGGCACGCCUGCCUGGGCGUCACACGUCGUUGCCCCCCCCAUCUACUCCUUCGGGAUUGCGGGGGGCGGAUGAUGGCCUCCCGUGCGCCUCGCCGCGCGGUUGGCAUAAAUGCCAAGUCCUCGGCGACGCACGCCACGACAAUCGGUGGUUGCGAAACCUCGGUUGCCCGUCGUGUGCGGUCGUCGCGCAUCGAGGGCUCGAAAAAAUUGCCGAGUUCCGGCUCGGCUUUCAACGCGACCCCAGGUCAGGCGGGGUUACCCGCUGAAUUUAAGCAUAUCAAUAAGCGGAGGA